UACAGAGGGGGCGAGCGUUGUUCGGAAUUACUGGGCGUAAAGGGCGCGUAGGCGGCCAACUAAGUCAGACGUGAAAUCCCUCGGCUCAACCGGGGAACUGCGUCUGAUACUGGAUGGCUUGAAUUCGGGAGAGGGAUGCCGGAAUUCCAGGUGUAGCGGUGAAAUGCGUAGAUAUCUGGAGGAACACCGGUGGCGAAGGCGGCAUCCUGGACCGAGAUUGACGCUGAUGCGCGAAAGCCAGGGAGCAAAGCGGG
rnacentral:rRNA from 1 species